rnacentral:rRNA from 1 species
CCUACGGGAGGCAGCAGUAAGGAAUAUUGGACAAUGCUCGCAAGAGUGAUCCAGCCAUGCCGCGUGCAGGAAGAAUGCCCUAUGGGUAGUAAACUGCUUUUGAACUAGAGAAAACCCCAGUACGUGUACUGGGCUGAUAGUAUAGUUAGAAUAAGCAUCGGCUAACUUCGUGCCAGCAGCCGCGGUAAGACGAAGGAUGCAAGCGUUAUCCGGAUUCAUUGGGUUUAAAGGGAGCGUAGGUGGACUUAUAAGUCAGUGGUGAAAUCUCCGAGCUUAACUCGGAAAUUGCCAUUGAUACUGUAGGUCUUGAGUACAGUUGCUGUGGGCGGAAUAUGACAUGUAGUGGUGAAAUACAUAGAGAUGUCAUAGAACACCGAUUGCGAAGGCAGCUCACAAAGCUGUAACUGACACUGAGGCUCGAAAGUGCGGGGAUCAAACAGGAUUAGAUACCCUGGUAGUCCGCACCGUAAACGAUGAUUACUCGCUGCUAGGGGGCAACCUUUAGUGGCUUAGNGAAGAGANAAGAANACACCGNGGAGGACGCGCGACGAGAACGACGAAGAAGUAGAGACGNGAGAGNGCGAGGACGACACGAGGGGAGGUUAGG